CUUUUGUCUGCCAAACUCCUGUCACAUGACCUGUCUCACUUAAUAAUCACUGUGUGUCUUUGAGAAUGUGUGUGGGAAUACUCACAUAUAUUUGCAGUGCCUUUCGGGAUCGUUUGACAAUUCAGGUGAAGGCCUGCGUGUCCUUGGCUGAAGGCGACAAAGCAGAUAAAAGUCUACUCUCAAACUUCAAGAGGGAUUCAAAGGAGGCAGGAGGAUGCAUAGCGGUUGCAAGGUCACAGUCGAUAGUUGAGGGAUUUGGAGUGAGAGAGGGACAAAAGGCUGAGCAACACAAGCCCACCGAAACACUGGAACAGACAUGGGGAGAAUAAAGGCGAGGAG